rnacentral:rRNA from 1 species
UACCUUGUUACGACUUGCAUGUGUAAAGCAUGCCGCCAGCGUUCAAUCUGAGCCAGGUUCAAACUCUGCAGCGGCCGCGGAUCCGCCCAAGGGC